AACGAACGCUGGCGGCAGGCCUAACACAUGCAAGUCGAACGCCGUAGCAAUACGGAGUGGCAGACGGGUGAGUAACGCGUGGGAACCUACCUUACGGUCGGGAAUAGCUCAGGGAAACUUGGGGUAAUACCGGAUACGCCUUACGGGAAGAUUUAUCGCCGUUAGAUGGGCCCGCGUAGGAUUAGCUAGUUGGUGAGGUAAUGGCUCACCAAGGCGACGAUCCUUAGCUGGUCUGAGAGGAUGAUCAGCCACACUGGGACUGAGACACGGCCCAGACUCCUACGGGAGGCAGCAGUGGGAAUAUUGGACAAUGGGCGCAAGCCUGAUCCAGCCAUGCCGCGUGAGUGACGAAGGCCUUAGGGUUGUAAAGCUCUUUUGGCGGGGAAGAUAAUGACGGUACCCGCAGAAUAAGCUCCGGCUAACUUCGUGCCAGCAGCCGCGGUAAU
rnacentral:rRNA from 1 species